GCCUUGGAUGAUGGUGUACAACUACAUAGUGUUGCUGAGUUGUAUCCAGAGCUAGGACAAUCUGGAAGUACAUUCCUGGUUAUCUUUUAACUGCACCUUUCCAGAGAAUGCACUUUAUCUUUUAAAAAAUUGUAUCUUUGAACAAUGCAACUUUUGAUAAUGUAAUGUGAAUGCUACAGGAAACAAAAAGGGAAUGCUUUAAAAGAAUCAUUGACCUUUAAAUGCCUGAUUCCCUUUACCAAUAAAAAGAGCUGUAAUGUGUAGUGAACAGCACCUGAUUGAUGGGAAUGUGAUGAUAAUCCAGCUCCUCCACUUGACAAGCCACAGAGAACAUCCAGAUAAAACAGCCUGUGCUUCUGACACCCAGAAAUGGCUGAAAUGACUGCCAGAAGUUAUUGAGCUGGAGAGAAUUUUAAAUGUGAGCUGGAGAAUGCAGUAAUGAAACUUCCCUUAAUAAGUUUGAUAAACAGACAUAUUCAAAAAUUAUUGAAGCCAGCUGAAAGUAACUGUUUAGGAGUUUUGAGUACAGAAUAUAUUUCUUCAGUUCUUAGAGAAUAGGUGACAGACUUAUUUCAAGGGUAAAGAAAAUACUGCAGAAAUACUGUGUGGAAACAGUGAGAAUCACUGGGCUUGCUGCAUCUGGAUGAGUAUUUGGCUCAGAGGAUUCUGUUUUUUGUGAAAUUGCUGUUAUCUCCCAACCCCUGUCCUCAGACACUGAGCUGUUAUGUCAGUGAUACUAAAUAAAAAUGAUCCAAAGUUUACAAAUAGGAAAAGAAUCUUCAAUCUGAAAAAAAAAAAACAACUAGCAAUUUUAAAACCCCAAACCCAACAAAAUAACAUACUAAACUAUCCAGUUUUACAGUUAAAGUCAUCAGGAAAAAAAAAUUAAUUUUGUUUCUGGAAAAAACAUUCCUCCAGAUCCUCUGUAUGACUUUGUGUGCAGGAACACAGUGUGUACCAGAAGAGGUGACCCAUUCUUUUGGACCACUUUGAUGGGAGCAGUGAAUUUUGGCUCCCAAAUUCUCUCGGGUGUGGAAACUCUGAGGCACAGUUCAUGGACCUGGUCUGUCUGCUGGAAAUACUGUCAGGAAGGAUAAAAAUGAUAAUAAAUUUGUUUUUACUGCU